rnacentral:rRNA from 1 species
UACGAAGGGGGCUAGCGUUGCUCGGAAUUACUGGGCGUAAAGGGGCGACGUAGGCGGACAGUUUAGUCAGAGGUGAAAGCCCAGGGCUCAACCUUGGAAUAGCCUUUGAUACUGGCUGUCUUGAGUUCGGGAGAGGUGAGUGGAAUGGCCGAGUGUAGAGGUGAAAUUCGUAGAUAUUCGGCGGAACACCAGUGGCGAAGGCGACUCACUGGCCCGAUACUGACGCUGAGGCGCGAAAGCGU